GCGGGAAUAGCUCAGUUGGUAGAGCACGACCUUGCCAAGGUCGGGGUCGCGAGUUCGAGUCUCGUUUCCCGCG
rnacentral:tRNA from 2 species